AUGUCUGACAUAAAAGGAGAGGGGGAUGUGAGAGAGGACUUGGGUUGUCCAGAAGGGGACUACAUAGAGACAGCAGCAGAAUGUAUAAACAAGCUAGGAGAGAAGAUUGAGGCAGCUGAUCAGGAGAACCAUCCUAACAGAGUUCCUGAGCAGACACUUCCAGAGUCAGUCAAACUGCACUGUUAAAGAGGAGCCGAUCCUGAAGUUUUGCAUCUGAAUUGUUCACAUUUUAGAUGCUUAAGGCAUGUAGUUUGUGUUGAAUUUACUGUUUAAUGUAAGAAAAUGUUCCAAAUAAAAAACCUUCAGACUUGUUCUUAUGUACAUCAACAGUUUGAGCUUUGCUGUUACUAUGGACCGUAACAAAUAGAUGCAAUACAUUUUAAAAUGUUUUAAAUUCUAUUUGAUGUACUGAUGUUGUUACAGACAUUUAUUGCCAGUGUCUUGUUGCAUUCAGUAGGUUUUAAAUAAAGGAAACAUAUAUAUAUAUAUAUAUA